rnacentral:rRNA from 1 species
GACGAACGCUGGCGGCGUGCUUAGCACAUGCAAGUCGAACGGAAAGGCCUCUUUCGGGGGGUACUCGAGUGGCGAACGGGUGAGUAACACGUGAGUAACCUGCCCUUGACUUUGGGAUAACUUCAGGAAACUGGGGCUAAUACCGGAUAGGAGCUCCUGCUGCAUGGUGGGGGUUGGAAAGUUUCGGCGGUUGGGGAUGGACUCGCGGCUUAUCAGCUUGUUGGUGGGGUAGUGGCUUACCAAGGCUUUGACGGGUAGCCGGCCUGAGAGGGUGACCGGCCACAUUGGGACUGAGAUACGGCCCAGACUCCUACGGGAGGCAGCGGUGGGGAAUAUUGCACAAUGGGUGGAAGCCUGAUGCAGCAACGCCGUGUGCGGGAUGACGGCCUUCGGGUUGUAAACCGCUUUCGCUCAUGACGAAGCUUUGUGUGACGGUAGUGGGUAAAGAAGCACCGGCUAACUACGUG